AUAUAAAAAAUUUUUUAUGGUUUAUUUAUUUUAUUUAAAAUUUGUUUUACAUAUAAAUUUUAGUGUUAAUUUAAAAUUAUUUAAAUAAUAAUUUAUAUUAUUUGUAGUAAUUAAUAUUAAAUUAUUUAAGAAAUUAAGAUUUAGUAAUAUUUUAAUUAAUAACAAAUUUUGUGCCAGCAGUUGCGGUUAAACAAAAGUUAAAUUAAAUUUUAUUAGUGAUUAAUUAAUAAAGUAUAUUAUAAUAAAAAUUUUAAAUUAUUAGGUGAAAUUUUAAUUUAAUAAAAAUUAUAAAUUAUUUAUUAUGAUUUAAUAAGUUUUAUGAAAAACUAGGAUUAGAUACCCUAUUAUUAAAAUUUAAAUUAAAAAUACUAAAAUAGUAAGUAAAUAUUUAUUGAAACUUAAAUAAUUUGGCGGUAUUUUAGUUUAUUUAGAGGAAUCUGUUUAAUAAUUGAUAUUCCACGAUUAAAUUUACUUAAUUUAUAAUUUUGUAUAUCGUUGUUAUAAAAAUAUUUUUUAAUAAAAUUAAUAUUUAAAAAUUAAAAUUAAAAUUUAAAUCAAAUCAAGAUGCAGAUUAUAAUUAAGAAUAUAAUGGAUUACAAUAAAUUUAUUUAAAUGGAUUUUAAUUUGUAAUAAUUAAUUGAAAGUGGAUUUAAAUGUAAUUUUAUUUAAUUUAAUAAAAUGAUUUAAAAUUAAAAUAUGUACAUAUUGCCCGUCGCUUUCAUAUAAUUAAAGUUGAAAUAAGUCGUAACAAAGUAGAGGUACUGGAAAGUGUUUCUAGAAAGAU
rnacentral:ncRNA from 1 species